rnacentral:rRNA from 1 species
CGAUUUUGAACGCACCUUGCGCCCCUUGGCAUUCCGAGGGGCACACCCGUUUGAGUGUCGUGAAAUCAUCAAAAAUCUUUUUCUUUGAAAAGGAUUUUUGGACUUGGAGGUUUCAUGCUUGCUUUUGCCUUUGAAAGCGAGCUCCUCUGAAAUAAAUUAGUGGGGUCCGCUUUGCUGAUCCUUAAUGUGAUAAGAUGUUUCUACAUUUUGGAUUUAGCACUGUCCCUUGGACGCCUGCUCCUAACUAGUUGUCCCUUGGACAAUGAUGGUGCUCCUGGUCACCGCCAUCCACAUUGGCGGGAGGCUGGACCCACAAAAGAAAAACCUGACCUCAAAUCGG